rfam:Lysinibacillus sp. BF-4 contig00023, whole genome shotgun sequence.
AUGAGGGUAAAGGUUACGCCCCAUAUAAUCUGAAGGAUUGGCUUCGGAGUAUCUACCUAGCACCUUAAUGCUAGACUAUGAGGAAAAUCAGUCUUUGA